AAGCUUGCAUUCAGAAUGGGGAAAUGUUAUAAGAUUUGUGUUGGCUCUAGCUAACUAUGACAAUAAACGAUGGAUGGAAUAAGUGUAGCGGACCCGGGGGCAGUACCCGGCGCCUCCACCAAUACCAAAGCGGCCUUUAAAAGGUUUGGCUUUCCAUGGGGGCGAAACAGGCUCGACGCGCACGGUAAAGAUUCAUUUUUUGUUCGGCAUUGUACCGCCGUUAUCGGGCUAAAUCGAUAAGUGCCAAUGAUAACUCUGAGGUGCUCGCUGUCGCUGCGUAAGCGAUAAGCGCGGUUUGGGAAGGCACCGGGCAACAGAAGCCUUCCCA
rnacentral:tmRNA from 1 species